GAAUUUUGUGCCUUGGGAAAGAGAGAUUGUAGCAGCAUUGAGAACAGAGUGGUGGUGGUGGUCCUGUCUGCCUUUUUUCUGGUCCCCAGAGCAGCAAGCUAGAAAAGGGCACCUGGAUGCUGUGUGAUGAAUUAUGCAGUGAAUUAAUAAUCAACUGACUUCAAUUGCUUUGCAGCACAACCCAGCUGCCAGGCAUCUUCCCAUGAAAUGGAUUGCCAAAUGGAUUGCCAUGAUGUCACGGGCACACAAUGUCCAUACUCAAACUGUGCAGGUGUGCAGGAGUGGCCCAUCAGCUUCAGCAUCUGCCGCCGCCACCAUGGGGGGUGACCUGCUCCUCUUGGCUCACCCCCACCCCCAGUGGUGAAGGUGAUACAUAUUGGUGCAUAGUGGUGGGCCCCCAGAUUACUGGGAGGCCCCCCAGGAGGCAGGAGCCUCUGUCUGCGGGCCCCCUGACCCUCCAGGCCCAGGAACAUUUGCCUCCCCUUGUCCAAUGGAUUCUACGCAUAUGGGUGCAUGUGAUUCAUCUGAAUAAGUAUUCCAUUCAUGUGUUUAGAAGCAGUCUGAAUGAACGACCCCAUGCAUGAUUCAGAGGCAGAGCAAUGCACCCAGGCUUUACUCCACCUGUUGAGGAUGGGCAAUUCAGAAUAAUGUCUAAACUGGCCCAUUAUUUGCCAGGCUUGCACACUGAAAAAUAAACUGUAUUUUUCCAGCAAGAGGAAAAAAUGGAUUGCUUAAAAACAGGGAAUGUCCCCCAUAUGUACUUGACUAUCCCUCUUAAAUAAAAAAUUCAAUCCAUGAUUUUUCAGUGCAUUAAAAUAUACAAGGGACUUCACCUAUUCUCUACAGAAAUUGAAUGUUUGUAUUCAAAGGAAUAUAAAACAGACUGUAGUAGGGUUAGCACAUAAAUCAUACAUCAAGGCAGCUAAAAUUCCAAAAAGACCUGCCUACGAAAAAAGAACUCGAGAAUACGUUUGGAAC